rnacentral:rRNA from 1 species
AUUGAACGCUGGCGGCAUGCCUUACACAUGCAAGUCGAACGGCAGCACGGGGCAACCUGGUGGCGAGUGGCGAACGGGUGAGUAAUGCAUCGGAACGUACCUUUCAGUGGGGGAUAACGUAGCGAAAGUUACGCUAAUACCGCAUAUUCUGUGAGCAGGAAAGCAGGGGAUCGCAAGACCUUGCGCUGAUUGAGCGGCCGAUGUCAGAUUAGCUAGUUGGUGAGGUAAAGGCUCACCAGGGCGACGAUCUGUAGCGGGUCUGAGAGGAUGAUCCGCCACACUGGAACUGAGACACGGUCCAGACUCCUACGAGAGGCAGCAUGGGGGAAUUUUGAACAAUGGGGGCAACCCUGAUCCAGCCAUGCCGCGUGAGUGAAGAAGGCCUUCGGGUUGUAAAGCUCUUUCGGCCGGGAAGAAAUCGCACGGGCUAAUACCCUGGGUGGAUGACGGUACCGGAAUAAGAAGCACCGGCUAACUACGUGCCAGCAGCCGCCGUAAAAC